rnacentral:rRNA from 1 species
ACUCCUACGGGGAGGCAGCAGUGGGGAAUAUUGCACAAUGGGCGCAAGCCUGAUGCAGCCAUGCCGCGUGUAUGAAGAAGGCCUUCGGGUUGUAAAAGUACUUUUCAGCAGUGAGGAAGGUGGAGUCGUUAAAUAGCGGCCUCAUUUUGACGUUAGCUGCAGAAGAAGCACCGGCUAACUCCGUGCCAGCAGCCGCGGUAAUACGGAGGGUGCGAGCGUUAAUCGGAAUUACUGGGCGUAAAGCGCAUGCAGGUGGUUUGUUAAGUCAGAUGUGAAAGCCC